GACGAACGCUGGCGGCGUGCUUAACACAUGCAAGUCGAACGGAAAGGCCCUGCUUUUGUGGGGUGCUCGAGUGGCGAACGGGUGAGUAACACGUGAGUAACCUGCCCUUGACUUUGGGAUAACUUCAGGAAACUGGGGCUAAUACCGGAUAGGAGCUCCUGCUGCAUGGUGGGGGUUGGAAAGUUUCGGCGGUUGGGGAUGGUCUCGCGGCUUAUCAGCUUGUUGGUGGGGUAGUGGCUUACCAAGGCUUUGACGGGUAGCCGGCCUGGGAGGGUGACCGGCCACAUUGGGACUGAGAUACGGCCCAGACUGCUACGGGAGGCAGCAGUGGGGAAUAUUGCACAAUGGGCGGAAGCCUGAUGCAGCAACGCCGCGUGCGGGAUGACGGCCUUCGGGUUGUAAACCGCUUUCGCCUGUGACGAAGCGUGAGUGACGGUAAUGGGUAAAGAAGCACCGGCUAACUACGUG
rnacentral:rRNA from 1 species